AAGAGAAGCUUUCCUCUUUGAAAAGAUAAUCUGCCUUCAAAGUUAUAAGUUAAACAACUGAGUGGUCUAAUUGAUUGAACAUUUACAAAUUAUAAUUGAAUUUGUGCCAAACUAUGUGAAAAAGAUUUAUGUUCCGCUUCCCAUACUGUUUAUCUCUCAUUUUUUUGUGUGUGUGUGCAUGUGUGAACUGAAUCUUUGGGAACUCCUUUCACUUGAUGCAUCACUGAGGUGGUUAAACACAUUGCAUUAUGGCAGUCUGUCACAUCAGUGUUUCAAACUGAAAUACUGGACUUGACACAUCCCUGGAAAAGGAAGUCGGACCAUCCAAAAUCCAGAGUUAUAUUUCUUUUGAAACUUGAGAUUCUGAAGACAGAAAUUUUCACUUACUUAACUGCAACUGCAAGAACGAAAAAAAAAGGAAGAGAAAAAAAGAGGUUUAAGUAAUUAUAAUGCAGCUUUUUUAAGCUUUAAAAAUAAUUUUAAUGAAAAUAAUAGUGUCUUGAUUGUCCUGCUUGUGAGUAGAGACAGCCAGCUCUCUGUAAAUGCCCAUAUUUAUUUUGCUGAACCUCUGUGAAGCAAUGGUGGAAGAACAAUAAAGAGGACAGAAUCUGAGUCUCCAGCAAACAAAAUGCAACACAUAGCCAUAUUUCUAUGCAACAAUUUCUUGAAUAUAAGGAGUCCAGAAGCACAAGAACUCUUAUCUGAGCCCUUGAUAAUGGUGAAAAUGUGCCAAUGAACAUUCUUGAGAAUGUUUCUUUCAACAGGAUGUGAUCUAAGAUGAAGAGCUGAAGUAAUUUCAAGGCUGUAUCUUGUAUUUCCAAAGGAAGAAUUGCAAGUCCAUUGAAAUACAAAACUUAACUUCUGGAGUUGCACAGAAUUUGCUCCAAAACAAUGGCAUCAUCAACAAAGGCUUUCAUGUUGACCUCUGCUCUACACAAACUUAAAUCUGUUUUACAUCAGAAGCUGCAGGGACGGAAGAGUACAUGGGAAAAGAACGUCUGGGAGUUUAGAGAGGACCAGCUAAAUUUUUUGAACUCCAGUGGGACUGGUGACAUAACUAAAAAGCAACAAACAGCAGGCUGAAGAAUAUGACAUAUGUGGAUGUUCUUUCUGCAAAGGAUGUGAGGUCAGGACUCCAGGGUCAGUGGCAGCUCCUCUGCUCCAUGGAGAGUGUUCACAUACCUUCACCUUGUAUUUAGUGAUUCGCC